rnacentral:tRNA from 1 species
GGCGUCAUAGCCAAGUGGUAAGGCACGGGUCUGCAACACACUUAUCCCCAGUUCAAGUCUGGGUGACGCCU